rnacentral:rRNA from 1 species
UACGUAGGGUGCGAGCGUUGUCCGGAAGUACUGGGCGUAAAGAGCUCGUAGGUGGUUUGUCGCGUUGUUCGUGAAAUCUCACGGCUUAACUGUGAGCGUGCGAGCGAUACGGGCAGACUGGAGUACUGCAGGGGAGACUGGAAUUCCUGGUGUAGCGGUGGAAUGCGCAGAUAUCAGGAGGAACACCGGUGGCGAAGGCGGGUCUCUGGGCCGAUACUGACGCUGAGGAGCGAAAGCGUGGGGAGCGAACAGG